rnacentral:sRNA from 1 species
AUAUUGCACAGUGAGAGGGGUAUGAGAACCUCCGACCGGGUUCGACGGUGAACUCUGUUCACCGGACAGCGGAGCCUGCGACGCUGCCCGCAGGGUGAGCGAAGCAAAUCAAUCCCCCUCUCACCGCCA